rnacentral:rRNA from 1 species
GAUGAACGCUGGCGGCGUGCCUAAUACAUGCAAGUCGAGCGAACGGACGAGAAGCUUGCUUCUCUGAUGUUAGCGGCGGACGGGUGAGUAACACGUGGAUAACCUACCUAUAAGACUGGAAUAACUUCGGGAAACCGGAGCUAAUACCGGAUAAUAUUUUGAACCGCAUGGUUCAAAAGUGAAAGACGGUCUUGCUGUCACUUAUAGAUGGAUCCGCGCUGCAUUAGCUAGUUGGUAAGGUAACGGCUUACCAAGGCAACGAUGCAUAGCCGACCUGGGAGGGUGAUCGGCCACACUGGAACUGAGACACGGUCCAGACUCCUACGGGAGGCAGCAGUAGGGAAUCUUCCGCAAUGGGCGAAAGCCUGACGGAGCAACGCCGCGUGAGUGAUGAAGGUCUUCGGAUCGUAAAACUCUGUUAUUAGGGAAGAACAUAUGUGUAAGUAACUGUGCACAUCUUGACGGUACCUAAUCAGAAAGCCACGGCUAACUACGUG